AAACGUUCACCUCGCCCAGCGAGGCGCAGAUCGACUCAGGCCAUGGAACGGGGGCUGAG
ncrna:unclassified sequences Glutamine-II riboswitch (downstream peptide RNA)